GAUGAAGAACGCAGCGAAAUGCGAUAAGUAAUGUGAAUUGCAGAAUUCAGUGAAUCAUCGAAUAUUUGAACGCACAUUGCGCCCCCUGGUAUUCCGGGGGGCAUGCCUGUCCGAGCGUCAUUACAACCCUCAAGCGCAGCUUGGUGUUGGGCCCCGCCGCCCCGGCGGGCCCUAAAGUCAGUGGCGGUGCCGUCCGGCUCCGAGCGUAGUAAUUCUUCUCGCUCUGGAGGUCCGGUCGUGUGCUCGCCAGCAACCCCCAAUUUUUUUCAGGUUGACCUCGGAUCAGGUAGGGAUACCCGCUGAACUUAAGCAUAUCAAUAAGCGGAGGA
rnacentral:misc_RNA from 1 species